rnacentral:rRNA from 1 species
GACGAACGCUGGCGGCGUGCUUAACACAUGCAAGUCGAACGGGGAGUUAGCAAUAACUCCUAGUGGCGAACGGGUGAGUAACGCGUAGACAACCUGCCCUCUAGCCGGGGACAACACCGCGAAAGUGGUGCUAAUACCGGAUGUACUAUCUUAGGAGCAUUCAUGAGAUAGCAAAGGUGGCCUCUAUAUAUAAGCUACCGCUAAAGGAUGGGUCUGCGUCUGAUUAGCUAGUAGGCGGGGUAAAAGCCCACCUAGGCGACGAUCAGUAGCCGGUCUGAGAGGAUGAACGGCCACACUGGGACUGAGACACGGCCCAGACUCCUACGGGAGGCAGCAGUGGGGAAUAUUGCACAAUGGGCGAAAGCCUGAUGCAGCAACGCCGCGUGAGUGAUGAAGGCCUCGG